GACGAACGCUGGCGGCGUGCUUAACACAUGCAAGUCGAACGAUGAACCACUUCGGUGGGGAUUAGUGGCGAACGGGUGAGUAACACGUGGGCAAUCUGCCCUGCACUCUGGGACAAGCCCUGGAAACGGGGUCUAAUACCGGAUACCACCACCGCAGGCAUCUGUGGUGGUUGAAAGCUCCGGCGGUGCAGGAUGAGCCCGCGGCCUAUCAGCUUGUUGGUGAGGUAGAAGCUCACCAAGGCGACGACGGGUAGCCGGCCUGAGAGGGCGACCGGCCACACUGGGACUGAGACACGGCCCAGACUCCUACGGGAGGCAGCAGUGGGGAAUUUUGGACAAUGGGGGCAACCCUGAUCCAGCCAUUCCGCGUGAGUGAAGAAGGCCUUCGGUUGUAAGUAC
rnacentral:rRNA from 1 species